GCGGUCGUGGCGGAAUUGGUAGACGCGCAGCGUUGAGGUCGCUGUGGUGGUAACACUGUGGAAGUUCGAGUCUUCUCGACCGCACCA
rnacentral:tRNA from 5 species